rnacentral:rRNA from 1 species
UACGUAGGGGGCUAGCGUUGUCCGGAAUCAUUGGGCGUAAAGCGCGUGUAGGCGGCUCGGUAAGUCCGCUGUGAAAGUCGGGGGCUCAACCCUCGGAUGCCGGUGGAUACUGUCGGGCUAGAGUACGGAAGAGGCGAGUGGAAUUCCUGGUGUAGCGGUGAAAUGCGCAGAUAUCAGGAGGAACACCAAUUGCGAAGGCAGCUCGCUGGGACGUUACUGACGCUGAGGCGCGAAAGCGUGGGGAGCAAACGGG